rnacentral:tRNA from 1 species
GCCUGGGUGGCUCAGUUGGUUGAGCAUCUGACUUCAGCUCAGGUCAUGAUCUCAUAGUUGGUGGGUCCGAGCCCCAUGUUGGGUU